rnacentral:lncRNA from 1 species
AAGAAUCUAAAAAAUUUGAUCCAUGUUUGUAUUUCUUUUUACUGUACAUUUAGAUGGAGGUACUUAAAGUUAUAUCAUGUGGUUCCUAUGAUUAGGAUGGCCUUGUUAAAGUGUGGGAUUGGAGUCUUGUGGCAAGAUUUAUUGAGGAAGAAAUUCGUGCCCGUUCUAUUGACUCAGUAAUAACUGGUUUUAGUGAUCGAAAUUUCUACUUGCUUUUUCAUCCAUUUGGUUUUUUUGGCCCAAAUUUUUGGUCUUUCAUGUCCUGCUUUCAUAACCGUGUUCUUGUGUUUCUAUUUUGAAAUGCCUAAUCUGGCAAUACAUAAUUGCUGUUUGAUUUUUUUUCCAGAUCAUUACAUUUGAUGACUAUGGUAUCUCUGGUCACUGUAACCACUGUGACGUGUGUCGUAGCAUCCAGUACGUUGACUCAUAUCUUUUGGCAUGUUUGUGUUUAGCAAGGGAUUGAAGUCUUGUUUUGUUAAUUGCUACUAUAGUUCUCAUUCAAGUUCUGGAAAUCUAUUUGUCUGUUCUUUUUACAGUGACAGAAAUGUAUUUUAUUAUCCUUCGAUUAACAAAAUUAUCAGAUUACUUAUCAAAAGAAAAAAAUGAUCAGUAUGGUUCUGUAGUAUCUACACAGUUCAAUCUUGUAGUGAUUCCUAAAAACCGUUGCCCUAUAAAAUUAGCAGUAACUGUUGCUGGUAACAUCAAACUAAGAAACAUAAUUAAUUAGGUUCUUUCUUCGUACAUAAUGCAGAAAGAUAUUACUUGAUUUUUCAGAAAGUCAUCUUGAAGCUUGGGAGCUUGUAAG